UACGUAGGGAGCAAGCGUUGUUCGGAUUUACUGGGCGUAAAGGGCGCGUAGGCGGCAUAUUAAGUCAUCUGUGAAAUCUCCGAGCUUAACUCGGAACUGUCAGCUGAUACUGAUGUGCUAGAGUGCGGAAGGGGCAAUCGGAAUUCUUGGUGUAGCGGUGAAAUGCGUAGAUAUCAAGAGGAACACCUGAGGUGAAGACGGGUUGCUGGGCCGACACUGACGCUGAGUGCGCGAAAGCCAGGGGAGCAAACAGG
rnacentral:rRNA from 1 species